UACGUAGGGGCCGAGCGUUGUCCGGAGUUAUUGGGCGUAAAGCGCGCGCAGGCGGCCUCGCGCGCCCGACGUGAAAGCCCCCGGCUUAACCGGGGAGGGUCGUUGGGGACGGCGGGGCUUGAGGGCGGGAGAGGUCGGUGGAAUUCCCGGUGUAGUGGUGAAAUGCGUAGAGAUCGGGAGGAACACCAGUGGCGAAGGCGGCUACCUGGACCAGCACUGACACUGAGUCACGAAAGCGUGGGGAGCAAACAGG
rnacentral:rRNA from 1 species